GUAGUGGCAAGCGUUGUCCGGAAUUAUUGGGCGUAAAGCGCGCGCAGGCGGUUCUUUAAGUCUGAUGUGAAAGCCCACGGCUCAACCGUGGAGGGUCAUUGGAAACUGGAGAACUUGAGUACAGAAGAGGAAAGCGGAAUUCCACGUGUAGCGGUGAAAUGCGUAGAGAUGUGGAGGAACACCAGUGGCGAAGGCGGCUUUCUGGUCUGUAACUGACGCUGAGGCGCGAAAGCGUGGGGAGCAAACAGGAUUAGAUACCCUGGUAGUCCACGCCGUAAACGAUGAGUGCUAAGUGUUAGGGGGGUUUCCGCCCCCCUUAGUGCUGCAGCUAACGCAUUAAGCACUCCGCCUGGGAGUACGGCCGCAAGGCUG
rnacentral:rRNA from 1 species